UGGAAGUUUUAAGGUGGCAGUAAUGAACUAUAUUGGAAGUUUUAAGGUGGCAGUUAGUACAUAUGCUCUAAUGAGAGUUCUAAGGUGACAUUACAUGUGCUCUAAUGGGAGUUUUAACUAGUUUUACAAAAGAAAAAAUCUUCAAGGUUUGAACAAAAAUGUUAAUACUGUAAUGGGGUAAUGAGUUUGUGGGCAACUUUUAAAAAUUAUUUCUCUGUUCCUUUUACAGUGUUGUCCUGUGAGCCACAUAGUAGAAGGAAGGAGAAGAGAACUGACUUGGUGACUUCUGGAAAAAACACGCCCUAGGCUGCAGGGGGCUCCAGGUGCCAGAAGCCUGACUCAGCAGUGAAGACUCGGGGCUAACUUGGAGUUAGGGUGGCUGGCUGUUCUGUCCUGCCCUUGGAAACACAGCGGCAGUGAUGCCACCUAGCAUCCUGAAGGGCACCGUUUGGGGCGGAGAAGAGGGAAUGUGCUGAGAAGGGGCAGAUUUCUCCAAGAUGUGCAGUCUUCAUUCCGCAAACCCUCACUGGGGGCGAUUUUAAGGGGUCCAGGAAAAGCAGAAGUGCAGCACUUUUUCUGGCUGCUGUACUUGACAAAAUUGCCACCUUUGUUUGUUUGUUUGUUUGUUUGUUUGUUUAAACAAAUUUAAAGUGC